CCCCUAGAUGUUCUGGGCCGCACGCGCGCUACACUGAACAGUUCAACAAGUCUUAACCUUGGCCGAUAGGUCUGGGUAAUCUUUGAACGCUGUUCGUGAUUGGGAUAGACCUUUGCAAUUAUGGGUCUUCAACGAGGAAUUCCUAGUAAGCGCAUGUCAUCAGCGUGCGUUGAUUACGUCCCUGCCCUUUGUACACACCGCCCGUCGCUCCUACCGAUUGAAUGAUCCGGUGAGCUUUUUGGACUGUGGUCACGGCUUUGGUUCGCCAAACUGAGGCCGCGGGAAGAUGCGCAAACCUUAUCAUUUAGAGGAAGGAGAAGUCGUAACA
rnacentral:rRNA from 1 species